GAUGAACGCUAGCUACAGGCUUAACACAUGCAAGUCGAGGGGUAACGACAGCGAAAGCUUGCUUUUGCUGGGCGACGACCGGCGAAAGGGUGAGUAACGCGUGAGCAACAUGCCCGAUACUGGAGGAUAGUCGAUGGAAACGUCGCGUAAUACUCCGUAACAACAGAGACCGCAUGGUUUUUGUUUAAUAGAUUUAUCGGUAUCGGAUUGGCUCGCGUCCCAUUAGGCAGUUGGCGGGGUAACGGCCCACCAAACCGACGAUGGGUAGGGGUUCUGAGAGGAAGGUCCCCCACAUUGGAACUGAGACACGGUCCAGACUCC
rnacentral:rRNA from 1 species